CUUGGAGGAUGGCCUUGAGGUGGCAGUAAAAAUUGCCAGAAAGCCAUCGAACAUGAAAUACAUCAACAUCGCUGGUCAUCCUGAGCCCCUUCCUUUAGAGAUCGGCCUGUUGAUACUGGCUCAUAGAGGUGGC